rnacentral:rRNA from 1 species
UGGGGAAUAUUGCGCAAUGGGGGAAACCCUGACGCAGCGACGCCGCGUGUGGGAUGAAGGUCUUCGGAUUGUAAACCACUGUCGCGAGGGACGAAGCUCUGACGGUACCUCGAAAGGAAGCACCGGCUAACUCUGUGCCAGCAGCCGCGGUAAUACAGAGGGUGCGAGCGUUGUCCGGAAUCACUGGGCGUAAAGGGCGCGUAGGCGGCCCGGUAAGUAGGGGGUGAAAUCUCAUGGCUCAACUGUGAGGCUGCCUUCUAGACUGCCAGGCUUGAGCACAGUAGAGGCGAGUGGAAUUCCCGGUGUAGCGGUGGAAUGCGUAGAGAUCGGGAAGAACAUCGGUGGCGAAGGCGGCUCGCUGGGCUGUUGCUGACGCUGAGGCGCGAAAGCGUGGGGAGCAAACAGGAUUAGAUACCCCUGUAGUCCCUGAGCGGGCUGGCAAGGCGCAU